rfam:Methanoplanus petrolearius DSM 11571, complete genome.
GCCCAGUUAGUGUAGUGGCCUAUCAUGCAGCCCUGUCACGGCUGCGACACGGAUUCGAAUUCCGUACUGGGCG